UACGUAGGGGGCAAGCGUUGUCCGGAUUUAUUGGGCGUAAAGAGCUCGUAGGUGGUUCGGUAAGUCGGAUGUGAAAUCUCUAGGCUCAACCUGGAGGGGUCAUUCGAUACUGCCGUGACUAGAGUUCGGUAGGGGAGUGUGGAAUUCCUGGUGGAGCGGUGAAAUGCGCAGAUAUCAGGAGGAACACCCGUAGCGAAGGCGGCACUCUGGGCCGAUACUGACACUGAGGAGCGAAAGCGUGGGGAGCGAACAGG
rnacentral:rRNA from 1 species